GGGAGGGGGGGUUGGAGGGAGGGGGAAUCCCAAAAGACAAAUACUUGGCUUGCAUGUGAAGCGGGCGUUGACAUCUUCCUGUGACUCAAGCAGCGUUCCACCUGAGCGCAGGAGGACAGUAACAUGUCCAGGAAGCACCAACGGCCGCUGGCUAGAUCUUUCAGUAGGUUCCACUGGGAGGGGAGAAACAGGAUUCACACUUAAACAACCGUCAUAUAACUAUGAUGGAACAAUUCUGGUGGCCAUAUCGAGUUCUUCGUCUCAUACUAGGAUUAAUGGCUCAAUAGAAACUGCUAGAACAACAACAACAAAAAACACUCGCGUUAUCUCUCUGAUUUCCAGAUAGUUGCACCUCGACUCAGUAGCCUGCUGUUGGGACCAGGGCAGCAGCACGCCACACAGACCGCAGUCAAGUCAACUGAGGCUGCGCCUUCAACAACCAGCCAAGCUGAUCACAACAGAAAGCUGGAGCUGCAGGUUUUUUACGGUGGAUAACAACAACCGUCAUUCCAGACAUCUUUCUCGAGACAUGAUCAUCCUCUACUGACAGAUGGUUUCCUGUCCCUGAAGGCUCCCUCCGCUCUCUAACCAGCCAGGAAUGCAGGGAACCUCAUCCUGAGCGUUGCUGUGUUUACUAAGGGACGGACACUCCAGCUCCAAACUCCAACCUCUACACUCCAGCUCCAAACUCCAACCUCUACAGUCCAGCUCCAAACUCCAACCUUUACACUCCAGCUACAAACUCCUAGCUUGCUGGUUAGCAAAUUGGCUAUUCAACUGGCUGGGUGGUUUACUGGCUGGCUGGAUUGUUGGCUGGUUAAAUGGGUAUCUUGUUAGCUGGCUGGUUACCUGGCAGGCUUGCCUGCGGGGACAUGAAUGUAGUCCUGCCCAGAGGCAUCCACUGUAUGCGGUUUCCUAAACCUGUCAGUCUACAAUCUACAGAGGCCCUGACUUGAAUGUACCAGAGAGGAACUGUUGAAGAUAUCCCUCUACUACCUUCACCACCAUCAUCAUCAUCCCCAGAUUUCGAGGAGACAUGGUCCACGUCCCCGGCCUGGCUCCAGCGCAGGGUCGUAACUGAAGCGACGACAAACCUGUUCUGGUCCCAGCGGACCAGCGCUAGGUUUACCAGGCCUUUGUGUACACAACACCUCCGCCCAUCCCGCUCCC